GGAAGCAGCCAUUCAUUUAAAGAGUGCGUAACAGCUCACUAGUCGAGGAAUUUGGCGUGGAUAAUAAUCGGGUAUCAAGUUGUCUGCCGAAGCUAUGGAAUUGAACAAUCGCCGCAAGGCAAUUGUUUCCAAUUGGUAGGGGAGCAUUCCAUUCGGCGUCGAAGGCGUGGCGCGAGCCACUCUGGAGCGUAUGGAAAAGCAAAUGUAGGUAUAAGUAACGAUAAAGGGGGUGGGAAACCC
rnacentral:rRNA from 1 species